UUGGUUUUUGUUUUUUUUUUUUUUUUUGUUAAGUUAUAAAUUAUUGCCUGAUACCUGAUAUAAUAUACCUGAAAUUAAUUAAUCAUUUUUUCAAUUCCAAGAAAAAUGGAAAAUAAAAACAACAAUCAAAAUGAUGGGAGUGAAAAUAGCCGUCGUCGAGUGUACAUGUGUUUAUUAAAAUCUUAAUAAUUAAAAAAUUUAAUUGAUAAAAUUUUAUAUUUAUUCUCCUAAUUCUCAUACUCAUUUUGAUAUCAAAAAUAACUGUAUGAUGGAAUGUACAGUUAAUUCGUUGGAAGAUUCUAUUACUGUUCUAAAAAGAAAUCCUCAUCAUCAUCAACAUAAUGUUGAUGUUGGUAAUCAUCAACACCAUCCACACCAGUAUUAUUAUUACCAUCAAUUACAAUUCCAGCAAUAACAGCAAUUGGAAUUGUUGUUCCAAUUACAACAGCAAAUGAUUGCCGCUUAUUCUCGGCUAAUUAAAAGAAUGUGAGAAAUUGCCGAGAAAGAUAAGACAAUUUGUUUCGAGGUCGAUAUUGAUGCUUGGAAACGAAUCCAAAUUUACAUGUUAUCGAUUUUGGAAAGCGAGAUACCAGAGUUUUAUUUAAUGAAAAUAAAACUAGAUCUUGAACAUGCUAAUUGUUUGAAUGAAAAUUUAAAAUCAAGGUUUUGUUUGAAAAUAAUCACAAACUCAAAAAAAACACUGUGUGUUCAUAAUAAUAGCAAAUAAUCGAAUACAUUUUUAUUUUCAAAAAACACAAUACUAAAUACAAAAUACAAAUCGAACUAUUGAACAAUAAAGUUCUAUAAUACGUUUCAUUCUACACUAAAUAUACAACAUAGGGUGCCAAAAAAAGAAAAUUUGAUUCAACCAAUGAAUUGGUAAUAAGUUA